GACGAACGCUGGCGGCGUGCUUAACACAUGCAAGUCGAACGGAAAGGCUCCAGCUUGCUGGAGUCCUCGAGUGGCGAACGGGUGAGUAACACGUGGGUAAUCUGCCCUGCACUCUGGGAUAAGCCUGGGAAACUGGGUCUAAUACUGGAUAUGACCUUUCUCCUUAUGGGGUUUGGUGGAAAGUUUUUCGGUGUAGGAUGAGCCCGCGGCCUAUCAGCUUGUUGGUGGGGUGAUGGCCUACCAAGGCGACGACGGGUAGCCGGCCUGAGAGGGUGAUCGGCCACAUUGGGACUGAGAUACGGCCCAGACUCCUACGGGAGGCAGCAGUGGGGAAUAUUGCAAAAUGGGCGGAAGCCUGAUGCAGCGAAGCCGCGUGAGGGAUGACGGCCUUCGGGUUGUAAACCUCUGUCAGCAGGGAAGAAGAGUAAGUGACGGUAACUGCAGAAGAAGCACCGGCUAACUACGUG
rnacentral:rRNA from 1 species